AUGAUCACCAAUGCCCAAAACAAUAACUUGCUGGUGGGUUUGGCUUCGGACCUCAUCCCUAAUGGAGUUGCGGUACUCCAAUAUGCUGACGACACUAUUAUCUGCCUGGAACACGAUGUUGAUAAGGCAGUAAACCUGAAGUUACUGCUGUACAUCUUUGAGCUUAUGUCUGGACUUAAAGUGAACUAUCAGAAAAAUGAGAUUUUCACUGUGGGAGGCGAUGAGAGCACGCUGAAAUACUAUGCUGAGUUGUUUAACUGUGAUGUGGGUAGCUUCCCCAUCAAAUACCUCGGUAUGCCUGUUAGUUAUUCCACCCUUAGAGAUUCUGACUGGGAGUUCAUAGUGGCCAAGUACCUUAAAAGAUUCGAGGCUUGGAUCGGUAAUGCUGCAUCCAUGGGGGGCAGUCUGACUUUGUUGGAUUCAGUUGUCACCCAGAUAUCCUUGUAUCAUAUGUCUAUGUGGCUUAUGAGCAAAACUUUCAUUGAAAAGCUUGAUAAACAUAGAAGGAAGUUUUUUUGGCAAGGUUGUAACAAGAAAAUGAGAUAUCAUUUGGUCAAAUGGGGCAGAAUAUGUAGGUCUCGAGAUAAAGGUGGCCUGGGAGUUAAAGAUCUUCGAAAACAAAACAUUAGCUUGAUGGUCAAAUGGUGGUGGAAACUUGAGACCCAAAAUGGCCUUUGGCAGAAAAUUGUGCGUGCUUGA
rnacentral:rRNA from 1 species